UACAGAGGGGGCAAGCGUUGUCCGGAGUUACUGGGCGUAAAGGGCGCGCAGGCGGCGGUGCUGGCCCGGCGUGAAAGCCCCCGGCUCAACCGGGGAGGGUCGUCGGGGACCGCACCGCUUGAGGGCGGUAGGGGCUGGUGGAAUGCCUGGUGUAGUGGUGAAAUGCGUAGAGAUCAGGCGGAACACCCGUGGCGAAGGCGGCCAGCUGGGCCGACCCUGACGCUGAGGCGCGAAGGCGUGGGGAGCGAACGGG
rnacentral:rRNA from 1 species